UCGACGGCAGCGCGGGGCAACCUGGCGGCGAGUGGCGAACGGGUGAGUAAUACAUCGGAACGUACCCAGAAGUGGGGGAUAACGUAGCGAAAGUUACGCUAAUACCGCAUACGAUCUACGGAUGAAAGUGGGGGACCUUCGGGCCUCAUGCUUUUGGAGCGGCCGAUGUCUGAUUAACUAGUUGGUAGGGUAAAG
rnacentral:rRNA from 1 species